UACGGAGGGAGCUAGCGUUGUUCGGAUUUACUGGGCGUAAAGCGCACGUAGGCGGCUUUGUAAGUUAGAGGUGAAAGCCCGGGGCUCAACUCCGGAACUGCCUUUAAGACUGCAUCGCUUGAAUCCAGGAGAGGUGAGUGGAAUUCCGAGUGUAGAGGUGAAAUUCGUAGAUAUUCGGAAGAACACCAGUGGCGAAGGCGGCUCACUGGACUGGUAUUGACGCUGAGGUGCGAAAGCGUGGGGAGCAAACAGG
rnacentral:rRNA from 1 species